AAAAACGACUCUCGGCAACGGAUAUCUCGGCUCACGCAUCGAUGAAGAACGUAGCAAAAUGCGAUACUUGGUGUGAAUUGCAGAAUCCCGUGAACCAUCGAGUUUUUGAACGCAAGUUGCGCCCAAAGCCAUCCGGUUGAGGGCACGCCUGCCUGGGCGUCACGC
rnacentral:rRNA from 1 species